AACGUAGGUGGCGAGCGUUAUCCGGAUUCACUGGGCGUAAAGCGCCUGCAGGCGGUCUUGUAAGUGGGGUGUGAAAUCUCCGGGCUCAACCGGGAGGGGUCGCUCCAUACUGCGGGACUGGAGGGCAGAAGAGGGAAGUGGAAUUCCCGGUGUAGUGGUGAAAUGCGUAGAGAUCGGGAGGAACACCAGUGGCGAAGGCGGCUUCCUGGUCUGCCCCUGACGCUAAGAGGCGAAAGCUAGGGGAGCGAAC
rnacentral:rRNA from 1 species